rnacentral:tRNA from 1 species
AACACUAAGCCGGAAUAACGGAUAACAUUGAUGAAGUUAAAUACGAGUAGAUUCUAGUGUUU